GCGCCGGUGGUUUAGUGGUAAAAUCUUCGCCUCCCACGCGAAGGCCCCGGGUUCGAUUCCCGGUCGGGCGCA